AAUUAACCCGCUAUCGUUAGGCUGUGCAUCGUCAACGACGAGCUCUUCGUCCGCAACGCCACGGCCGAGGAGCUGCGCCGCGCCUUCGUCAUGCCCGCGCCCACCCCCUCCUCCAGCCCCGUGCCCACGCUGGCCGCCGAGCAGCAGGAGAUGCUGGCCGCCUUCGCCAUGCAGUCCGGCAUGAACCUCGAGUGGUCCCAGAAGUGAGCGGCCCCUCCCAGUUAGCUCCCAGUAGCUCCCAGUUACCUCCCAGUUAGCUCCCAGUAAACCGCCGGUAACCCCCCAGGGCAGGCAGAACCCAUGUCGGUAUCUGCAAGCAGCUCCCACUGCUUCCCAGUAACCCCUAGACCCCCACCAGUCCCUCCCAUUAGCUCCCAGUAACCCCCCAGGGCAGGCAGAAUCCAUGUCGGUAUCUGCAAGUAGCUCUCAGUCCCUCCCAGUUGCAUCCCAGUCCCUCCCAGUUGCAUCCCAGUAUCUCCCAGUUGCAUCCCAGUAUCUCCCAGUUGCAUCCCAGUUGCAUCCCAGUAUCUCCCAGUUGCAUCCCAGUAGCUCCCAGUAGCUCCCAGUUAGCUCCCAGUAACCCCUCAGGGCAGGCAGAAUCCAUGUUGGUAUCUGCAAGUAGCUCCCAGUGCCUCCCAGUAACCCCCAGGGCCCCACCAGUCCCUCCCACUUGCAUCCCGGUAGCUCCCAGUUGCCUCCCAGUAACCCCCAGACCCCCACCACUCCC
rnacentral:lncRNA from 1 species